UACGGAGGGUGCAAACGUUGCUCGGAAUUACUGGGCGUAAAGGGCGCGUAGGCGGCUUGACAAGUCACUUGUGAAAUCUCCGGGCUUAACUCGGAACGGCCAAGUGAAACUGUCAUGCUAGAGUGCAGAAGGGGCAAUCGGAAUUCUUGGUGUAGCGGUGAAAUGCGUAGAUAUCAAGAGGAACACCUGAGGUGAAGACGGGUUGCUGGGCUGACACUGACGCUGAGGCGCGAAAGCCAGGGGAGCAAACGGG
rnacentral:rRNA from 1 species